UGAAUCCUAUUUGACUUGGAGGGAAACAAAUCAAGGGAAGGAUUGACUCGGCGACGUAAAAAGAACUUUACUUCAACAGAUAGUAGCAAUUGUGGAAGAAAAUUCAAGACUUAGCAAUGAGCGAGAAAGUGAGCACAAAGCAAGUCUGUAAUGGAGAAAAAGUGAGGAAUACGACAAAGUUCAAUGAAUAGAAUUUUGUAAGAAAUACUCCAAGUUGUUGAUUGCUAUUCAAAGAAAAGAAUCAACAGAAGCUCGUAAGAAACAAAACCGGCGAAUUAAAAUUCGGAAUUGAAUUGAGCAGAGAUAUACUGUAAUUAUUUUUAGCAGUUAGCAAAAAUAAAAAAACAGUACCAAUUCGAUGGCUAGAAGAAAGCAAAGCACAAUAGACCUUGAAAAUGAAUCAAGGAACAAGGAAUUUUUUUUGGGGGAAAAAGAAGUUUAAGAAAGAGUAGGUGAAAUGUUGGCAACACCUAUGUAUAUGAAACUCGACCUACAAUGAAAGGCGAACAGAAUGAAGAUAGAAAAAAUGAUCAACAAAGAAGAAAAGAAGAAUGGAUAGAUGGAAAGUGUAUCCAAUGGUCAAAACCAAUCGAUGGUGAAGACAAGUAAAAGAACAAGAACAAGUA